GGGAUUGUGGCUCAGCAGUAGAGUGCUUGCCUUGCACGCGUGAGGUCCUGGGUUCAAUCCUCAGCACCA
rnacentral:tRNA from 1 species